UACGUAGGGUGCGAGCGUUGUCCGGAAUUAUUGGGCGUAAAGAGCUUGUAGGUGGUUUGUCGCGUCUGCUGUGAAAAUCCGAGGCUCAACCUCGGACUUGCAGUGGGUACGGGCAGACUAGAGUGUGGUAGGGGAGACUGGAAUUCCUGGGUGUAGCGGUGAAAUGCGCAGAUAUCAGGAGGAACACCGAUGGCGAAGGCAGGUCUCUGGGCCACUACUGACGCUGAGAAGCGAAAGCAUGGGGAGCGAACAGG
rnacentral:rRNA from 1 species